GAUGAACGCUGGCGGCGUGCCUAAUACAUGCAAGUCGAGCGAACAGACGAGGAGCUUGCUCCUCUGACGUUAGCGGCGGACGGGUGAGUAACACGUGGAUAACCUACCUAUAAGACUGGGAUAACUUCGGGAAACCGGAGCUAAUACCGGAUAAUAUAUUGAACCGCAUGGUUCAAUAGUGAAAGACGGUUUUGCUGUCACUUAUAGCUGGAUCCGCGCCGCAUUAGCUAGUUGGUAAGGUAACGGCUUACCAAGGCAACGAUGCGUAGCCGACCUGAGAGGGGGAUCGGCCACACUGGAGCUGAGACACGGUCCAGACUCCUACGGGAGGCAGCAGUAGGGAAUCUUCCGCAAUGGGCGAAAGCUUGACGGAGCAACGCCGCGUGAGUGAUGAAGGUCUUCGGAUCGUAAAACUCUGUUAUUAGGGAAGAACAAAUGUGUAAGGAACUAUGCACGUCUUGACGGUACCUAAUCAGAAAGCCACGGCUAACUACGUG
rnacentral:rRNA from 1 species